rnacentral:rRNA from 1 species
UACGUAGGGUGCGAGCGUUGUCCGGAAUUACUGGGCGUAAAGGGCGCGCAGGCGGCAGACCAAGUCAGAUGUGAAAUAGCUCGGCUUAACCGGGCGGGGUCAUUUGAAACUGGUCAGCUAGAGUACAGCAGAGGUUAGCGGAAUUCCCGGUGUAGUGGUGAAAUGCGUAGAUAUCGGGAGGAACACCAGAGGCGAAGGCGGCUAACUGGGCAUGUACUGACGCUGAGGCGCGAAGGCUAAGGGAGCAAACAGG